GGAGGGUCCAAGCGUUGUCCGGAUUUAUUGGGUGUAAAGGGUGUGUAGGCGGGCUUGUAAGUCAGAGGUGAAAUCCUACGGCUCAACCGUAGAACUGCCUUUGAUACUGCAGGUCUUGAGUCCUGGAGAGGUUGUUAGAAUUCGUGGUGUAGCGGUGAAAUGCGUAGAUAUCACGAGGAAUACCGGUUACGAAGGUGGACAACUGGACAGGUACUGACGCUGAGGCACGAAAGCGUGGGGAGCAAACAGGGAUUAGAUACCCUGGUAGUCCACGCCGUAAACGAUGAUCACUCGGUGUCGCAGAGUAAUCUGCGGUGCCCAAGUUAACGCAUUAAGUGAUCCACCUGGGGAUACGAUCGCAAGGUUG
rnacentral:rRNA from 1 species